ACGUAGGGGGCAAGCGUUGUCCGGAAUUAUUGGGCGUAAAGAGCUCGUAGGUGGGGUUAUAAGUCAGCAAGUAAAUAUCUCGGCUCAACUGAGAUCUCAUUGUUGAUACUGUAACUCUUGAGGACAGGAGAGGAAAGUGGAAUUCCCGGUGUAGCGGUGAAAUGCGUAGAGAUCGGGAGGAACACCAGUGGCGAAGGCGGCUUUCUGGCCUGAUUCUGACACUGAGGAGCGAAAGCUAGGGGAGCGAACGG
rnacentral:rRNA from 1 species